rnacentral:rRNA from 1 species
CCCUUAGAUGUUCUGGGCCGCACGCGCGCUACAAUGAUGAAUUCAACGAGUUUAUAACCUUGGUUGAAAAGCCUGGGUAAUCUUUUGAACUUUCGUCGUGAUGGGGCUAGACCCUUGCAAUUAUUGGUCUCCAACGAGGAAUUCCUAGUAAACGCAAGUCAUCAGCUUGCAUUGAUUACGUCCCUGCCCUUUGUACACACCGCCCGUCGCACCUACCGAUUGAAUGGUCCGGUGAAAUCUUCGGAUUGAGACUUUGAUUUCUUCACGGAAAACACUGUUUUAAAAAGUUGAUUAAACCUUACCAUUUAGAGGAAGGUGAAGUCGUAACA